rnacentral:rRNA from 1 species
AUACGGAGGAUCCGAGCGUUAUCCGGAUUUAUUGGGUUUAAAGGGUGCGCAGGCGGCCAUUUAAGUCAGCGGUUAAAUCGUGGGGCUCAACCCCAUUCUGCCGUUGAUACUGGGUGGCUUGAUUGCGGUCGAGGUUGGCGGAAUUCGUUGUGUAGCGGGGAAAUGCAUAGAUAUGACGAAGAACAUCGAUUGCGUAGGCAGCUGACCAGACCGCAAAUGACGCUCAUGCACGAAAGUGCGGGGAUCGAACAGGAUUAGAUACCCUGGUAGUCCGCACAGUAAACGAUGAAUACUUGUUUUCGGCGAUAUAAUGUCGGAGGCAAAGCGAAAGCGAUAAGUAUUCCACCUGGGGAGUACGCCGGCAACGGUGAAACUCAAAUGAAUUGACGGGG